AUGAAGGACGGAAAUGGUACAAAUUUGAAAUUUGGCCUUGAUUGGCAUAAUUGGACAAACCACAAGGACAAAAAUGGCAAUUAACUCGAUAGAUAAUUAUAAGCACAAGGGUUGAGAGAGACAGAGACCAUCUCAUUUGAUUUUUCAACAUCAUCCGUUAGUCCCUCCAUAUGCUUGCAUAAACCUGCAAUAAAGUAAGCACAAAACAAUAAAUGACAUUAAGCAUGUAAAUAACCAACCUAUUAAAACGGAAAAAGGUGAUUGUGGGUCCCUCCCACAUCAAAGUGAAAUUCCUAUAUAUGUAUAGGAAGAUAGUUCAUAAGUAAUACGCGUGAGAAGUGUUAUCAGAUUCAUGAUUGCCGCCAUUUGACCAGAAAAAAGUCAAAAUUAAAAAUCUAUUCUGAGAUAAUGAUUUCUUCAAAAUCUCAUCUCACUUCAGAAAGUGAGAAACCAUUUUGCUAAACAAUAAACCUCAAGGAACGCGAUAAAACACAAUUAUUCCUAUGAGCAUCCUAGCUAGUGUGAUAUAAGAUUAGAUACAUAAUGGUCAAAGAAAGAAAAAAAAUAAGUCAACCUUCAACAUGGCUCCUGAGUUCUAAAUUCUGAGAUUUCUGCAAAGCAAGCUUCAUCGACAACUCGUGUAUCUACAAACCAGAAAUUUGAAACGCUUAGUAACCAUACCCUUCAGUUAAUUAAGAUUCUAGAAGCUGUAUGCAUGAAAUAUAGACUUUUCGCGGACUUUCAUGUUUCACCUAUUUUACACGUUAUCUUUUAUCUUUUCUUUUAACCCAUUUGAGAUAAAACACGUAUAGCUACCCUACGAAAAAAAAUCCAUUGUUAAAAAAACCUAAAGACUUUCUCAAAAUUCACACAUAAGUCCCUGGACUUUAUUUUUGGAAAAUUAAAUCCCUCAAUUUUAAUAACUUUGACAGUAAAGUAGUAGAGUCCCAACACUUAAUUAUUAACAUAAAGUCCUUUUUUCCAAUGAUUAACAUAAAAAAUUCCUACUCGUGCAUUGAUUAAGCCUUUAAAAUAUAUAUGAAAAAAAAACCUUUUCAUGAACUUUUAACGUAUAGGGAUUUAGUUAUGCAAAAACAGGUUUUUUAUAUACUUUCUCACAUAUCCACUGUUUUUUGAAACCCCAGACCAGUCGGAUCCUGGUCCAGUUAACCCUAUCAAAACUGUUUUGAGUCGAACCGGCCGUUGUACCGGGAACCAGUGGUUGGACCAGAAAACCGGGCAGUUGAACCGGAUUUUGAUUAAAAAAAAUCAAUUUUAGUCUAUUUGUUUUUAUAAUAUUUACGGAAUCACCCGCUUUUUACAUCCGGUUCGACCGGUCCGACCAGUCGACUAGUGAGGAGACCGGCUUGGCGUCCCGCCCUGAAUAGUGAAUACAUUGCAGAAAACUGUGUCAUCUCACUGACCUUUCCUUCUUUGGCUUGAUUUCCUAUCUCCUCAUUUUCUUCUUGCAGGGUCCUGCAUUUCGCCAUUAGCAUUUUUCCCAUUUUGCUUUGUGGCGUGAAGUUGACAGCCGCAACGUUGUCCUGCAGCUCCUUCACUUUCUUAUCCUUUUCCUCUACCAAAUUCUGAAGUUGCAAAUGCAGGCGUUUUUCAGUUGAACGUAUAAAAAGAUGCUGAAAAGGUCAACUACUAGUCCACAUUACACCAACAGGUCAAACAUCAACAUUGUAUAGUUAAGGUUUCACAUGUUUAAUAUUAAGUCAACCAAAUCUUACGCUACGACUAUUUUAGUCAGUGUUUAAUAUUUAAUUAGUCUACUCCAAAAGUAAAAAUUUAUAGGUAGUUAAUAUCAAACAUUUUACAAUUACUGAUUAGGUGUCCAUAUAACCAUCUCUAGUGGUAACAUAAAUCUAAACAUGAACACGGGAUCCUGAAAGUUGACUACCUUCAAACGCAUAAACUCCUCGUGAAUCGCGGGAUCAAGUAAUAAUCUUCUUGCCUGAAAUUUUUAACACAGCGGGAUAUUAAUAUUUUGAAUCAGAUUUGAGGAGAUAUUGAGAUCUAUAAUUGUGAGAAAAUUGCUGUUAUUAUCCAUGCCUGUAAGAUCAAAUUAUAAACGUUUCAAAUGAAAGGCUACAUUGUGACUUGGAAAAGUCAAAUGACGUAUUGCAAGUUAAAAUAUUACUUGAAAUUAUAAGUUGAAUUAAACUUUGUCAUAACUAAUAAGCACAAAUAUUAGUAACAAAUAGCGAUUUAAAAAGGUUUAUACAAUUUCACUUUUUAAGCAGGAGAUUUUGUCUUAAUAAAAGGUAGCCAUAUAGAGAGAAAGAAUAGUGGUGUACCUGCAUUGAUAGAGGCUUGAGUUGUGAUCUUAAAUCCCGAACUGCGGCCUAAAACAGUUGAAAACAAAUUUUAUCUAUUUAGUUUUAGUUCUGUCCAGUAAAAAGAUUUCUAUAACAAUGUUACCACAGUUAAAAACUUAUUUUUAGCAGUUACUGUAUUGUGUAUUCGCAUUAAAUCGGAUAUAUUUUUUAUAUCUUUCACUUGUGUAUAGUAGAGAAAAAAUAAGCACCUUCAAAUCUGCAAUUUCCUGCUCUCGCUUUGCAAUAGUUACUAUAAAUGCGGCUUCCUUUUUCUUUGCUUUUUCUAGCUGAACACAUUAAACAACAUUAAUCAAACAAAAUUUGCAUUCAUUUUCC
rnacentral:lncRNA from 1 species